rnacentral:rRNA from 1 species
UACGGAGGAUCCGAGCGUUAUCCGGAUUUAUUGGGUUUAAAGGGUGCGCAGGCGGGAGAUUAAGUCGGCGGUGAAAUUUUGCAGCUCAACUGUAAAAGUGCCUUCGAAACUGGUUUCCUUGAGUGUAGAUGAAGUAGGCGGAAUUUGUGGUGUAGCGGUGAAAUGCAUAAAUAUCACGAGGAACUCCGAUUGCGCAGGCAGCUUACUAAACUACUACUGACGCUCAGGCACGAAGGCGUGGGAGUCAAACAGGAUUAGAUACCCUCGGUAGGU